GUGUCAGCAGCCGCGGUAAGACGAACCGUGCAAACGUUAUUCGGAAUCACUGGGCAUAAAGGGCGCGUAGGCGGCUUUCUAAGUCAGGGGUGAAAUCCGGCAGCUCAACUGUCGCAGUGCCUUUGAUACUGGAGAGCUCGAGGGAGGUAGGGGUCUGUGGAACUUCCGGUGGAGCGGUGAAAUGCGUUGAUAUCGGAAGGAACGCCGGUGGCGAAAGCGACGGACUGGAUCUCUUCUGACGCUGAGGCGCGAAAGCCAGGGGAGCAAACGGGAUUAGAUACCCUAGUAGUCC
rnacentral:rRNA from 1 species